GAUGAACGCUGGCGGCGUGCUUAACACAUGCAAGUCGAACGAAGCAUUUGCGACAGAUUUUUUCGGAAUGAAGUUGCUUAUGACUGAGUGGCGGACGGGUGAGUAACGCGUGGGUAACCUGCCUUGUACUGGGGGAUAGCAGCUGGAAACGGCUGGUAAUACCGCAUAAGCGCACAAUGUUGCAUGACAUGGUGUGAAAAACUCCGGUGGUAUAAGAUGGACCCGCGUCUGAUUAGCUAGUUGGUGAGAUAACAGCCCACCAAGGCGACGAUCAGUAGCCGACCUGAGAGGGUGACCGGCCACAUUGGGACUGAGACACGGCCCAGACUCCUACGGGAGGCAGCAGUGGGGAAUAUUGCACAAUGGAGGAAACUCUGAUGCAGCGACGCCGCGUGAGUGAAGAAGUAAUUCGUUAUGUAAAGCUCUAUCAGCAGGGAAGGUAGUGACGGUACCUGACGAAGAAGCUCCGGCUAAAUACGUG
rnacentral:rRNA from 1 species